rnacentral:rRNA from 1 species
UACGUAGGGUGCGAGCGUUGUCCGGAAUUAUUGGGCGUAAAGAGCUCGUAGGCGGUGUGUCACGUCGGCCGUGAAAACCUGCAGCUUAACUGUGGGCGUGCGGUCGAUACGGGCAUCACUGGAGUUCGGCAGGGGAGACUGGAAUUCCUGGUGUAGCGGUGAAAUGCGCAGAUAUCAGGAGGAACACCGGUGGCGAAGGCGGGUCUCUGGGCCGAUACUGACGCUGAGGAGCGAAAGCGUGGGGGAGCAAACGGGG